GGUUCGAUUAUGAAACCAGAUUGAACGCUGGCGGGAUGCUUUACACAUGCAAGUCGAACAGCACGGACUUCAGUCUGGUGGCGAGUGGCGAACGGGUGAGUAAUGUAUCGGAACGUGCCUGGUAGCGGGGGAUAACUACGCGAAAGCGUAGCUAAUACCGCAUACGCCCUUCGAGAAAGCGGGGGACCUUCGGGCCUCGCACUGUGAAGCGGCCGAUAUCGGAUUAGCUGGUUGGUGGGGUAACGGCUCACCAGGCGACGAUCCGUGGCUGGUUUGAGAGGACGACCAGCCACACUGGGACUGAGACACGGCCCAGACUCUACGGGGAGGCAGCAGUGAGGUACCCCUGGACAAUGGGGAAACCUGAUCAACCAUCCCGUGUGCGGCAAGGCCUUCGGGUUGUAAAGCACUUUUGGCAGGAAAGAAGCAUGCAGGAUAAUACCCCGUGCAACUGACGGUCACCUGCAGAAUAAGCGCAAGCUAACCUACGUGCCAGCAGCCGCGGUAAUACGUAGGGUGCAAGCCGUUAAUCAGAAUUACUGGGCGUAAAGCGUGCGCGAGCGGUUCGGGAAAGAAAGAUGUAGAAAUCGACUUAACUUUGGAACCUGUUUUUAACUACCGAGCUAGAAGAGUGUCAGAGGAGGUGGAAUUCCGCGUGCCUGGCAGUGAAAUGCGUAGAUAUGCGGAGGAACACCGAUGGCGAGCGGCCUCGCAGGAUAACACUGACGCUCAUGCGAAAGCGUGGGAGCAAACGGGAUUAGAUACCCUGGUGAUCCACGCCCUGGCGAUGUCAACUAGCUGUUCAGGGCCUUCAGGCCUUGGUAGCGCAGCUAACGCGUGAAGUUGACCGCCUGGGGAGUACGGUCGCAAGGUCAAACUCAAAGGAAUUGACGGGACCCACACAAGCGGUGGAUGAUAUGGAUUGAAUUCGAUGCAACGCGAAAAACCUUACCUACCCUUGACGUAUCUAGGUCCCGAAGGGUCAGGAGUGCUCGCGAAGGGAACCGGAACACAGGUGCUGCAUGGCUGUCGUCAGCUCGUGUCGUGAGAUGUUAGGGUUAAGUCCCGCGAGCGCAGCCCAUGUCAUUGGAUUUUGCUACGAAAGGGCACUCUAAUGAGACUGCCGACAAACCGGAGGAAGGUGGGGAUGACGUCAAGUCCUCAUGGCCCUUGUAGGUGGGGCUUCACACGUCAUACAAUGGUCGGGACAGAGGGUCGCCAACCGCGAAGGGGCAAUCCCAGAAACCCGAUCGUAGUCGGAUCGCAGUCUGCAACUCGACUGCGUGAAGUCGGAAUACGCUGGUAAUCGCGGAUCAGCAUGUCGCGGUGAAUACGUUCCCGGGUCUUGUACACACCGCCCGUCACCUGUAUGAGUGGGUUUUGCAGAAGUAGUUAGCCUAACCGUAAGGAGGGCGAUUACCACGGUAGGAUUCAUGACUGGGGUGAAGUCGUAACAAGGUAA
rnacentral:rRNA from 1 species